rfam:Schistosoma rodhaini strain Burundi genome assembly, scaffold: SROB_scaffold0001017
AUCUAGCUGACGAGUCUCAAAUAGGACGAAACGCGCAUCCUGGAU